rnacentral:rRNA from 1 species
AUUGAACGCUGGCGGAAUGCUUUACACAUGCAAGUCGAACGGCAGCACGGACUUCGGUCUGGUGGCGAGUGGCGAACGGGUGAGUAAUGUAUCGGAACGUGCCCAGUCGUGGGGGAUAACGUAGUGAAAAUUACGCUAAUACAGCAUACGAUCAAUGGAUGAAAGCGGGGGAUCGCAAGACCUCGAGCGAUUGGAGCGGCCGAUAUCGGAUUAGGUAGUUGGUGGGGUAAAGGACCACCAAGCCAACGAUCUGUAGCUGGUCUGAGAGGAGGACCAGCCACACUGGAACUGAGACACGGUCCAGACUCCUACGGGAGGCAGCAGUGGGGAAUUUUGGACAAUGGGCGAAAGCCUGAUCCAGCCAUUCCGCGUGCAUGAUGAAGGCCCUCGGGUUGUAAACUGCUUUUGUACAGAACGAAAAGGUUUCUACUAAUACUAGGAGCUCAUGACGGUACUGUAAGAAUAAGCACCGGCUAACUACGUGCCAGCCGCCGCCGUAA